AUGCACACGGCCCCCGAGUACAAGUGGAGCUCGCCGGUUUCGUCGCCGUCCUCGCAGGAGCAGGGGAUGCCGACGUCGCCCACGUCGCCGACGCCGAAGCGCCCCGCGGGGCGCACCAAGAUCAAGGAGACACGCCACCCGGUGUACCACGGCGUGCGCCGCCGGGGCUGCAACGGCCGGUGGGUGUGCGAGAUGCGGGUGCCCGGCAAGCGCGGCGAGCGGCUCUGGCUCGGCACGCACGCCACCGCCAAGGCGGCCGCCCGCGCGCACGACGCAGCCAUGCUCGCGUUGCACGGCCGCUCCGCCGCGCGCCUCAACUUCCCUGACUCCGCGUGUCUGCUCGCCGUGCCCUCUUCUCCCUCCAGCCUGGCCGACGUCAGGCGCGCCGCCAUCGGGGCCGUCGUGGACUUCCUGCGCCGGCAGGGGUCGCCUCCGUAGCGCCCCCGCCGGGCAAUGCCAGGUCGUCGGCGACGUCGUCCCAGCAGCCUUGUGCCAAUGCUGAGUCCGAGGUGCCUGACGCAUUGCGCGGCGGCCUGCCGGAGCUCCACACGUCCGGGGAAAUGGACGUGAGCACGUACUACGCGGACCUUGCGCAGGGGCUGCUCCUGGAGCCGCCGCCACUGGCGGCCAGUGACUGCAACGACGGCGGAGAUGAUGCGGCGCUAUGGAGCCACUGA
rnacentral:rRNA from 1 species